rnacentral:rRNA from 1 species
CGAAGCGCUUAAAUGGAUUUCUUCGGAUUGAAGUUUUUGUGACUGAGUGGCGGACGGGUGAGUAACGCGUGGGUAACCUGCCUCAUACAGGGGGAUAACAGUUAGAAAUGACUGCUAAUACCGCAUAAGCGCACAGUGCUGCAUGGCACAGUGUGAAAAACUCCGGUGGUAUGAGAUGGACCCGCGUCUGAUUAGCUAGUUGGUGGGGUAACGGCCUACCAAGGCGACGAUCAGUAGCCGGCCUGAGAGGGUGAACGGCCACAUUGGGACUGAGACACGGCCCAAACUCCUACGGGAGGCAGCAGUGGGGAAUAUUGCACAAUGGGGGAAACCCUGAUGCAGCGACGCCGCGUGAGCGAAGAAGUAUUUCGGUAUGUAAAGCUCUAUCAGCAGGGAAGAAAAUGACGGUACCUGACUAAGAAGCACCGGCUAAAUACGUGCCAGCAGCCGCGGUAAUACGUAUGGUGCAAGCGUUAUCCGGAUUUACUGGGUGUAAAGGGAGCGUAGACGGUUGUGUAAGUCUGAUGUGAAAGCCCGGGGCUCAACCCCGGGACUGCAUUGGAAACUAUGUAACUAGAGUGUCGGAGAGGUAAGCGGAAUUCCUAGUGUAGCGGUGAAAUGCGUAGAUAUUAGGAGGAACACCAGUGGCGAAGGCGGCUUACUGGACGAUCACUGACGUUGAGGCUCGAAAGCGUGGGGAGCAAAC